AUUGAACGCUAGCGGGAUGCUUUACACAUGCAAGUCGAACGAGUGGCGGACGGGUGAGUAAUAUAUCGGAACGUGCACAGUAGCGGGGGCUAAAUACUCGAAAGAGUGGCUUAUAACGCAUAAUACUGGAGCGGCCGCUAUCGGAUUAGCUAGUUGGUGGGGUAAAGGCUCACCAAGGCAACGAUCAGUAGCUGGUUUGCUAGGACGACCAGCCACACGGGGAUGGAGACACGGCCCAGACUCCUACGGGAGUCCGCAGUGGGGAAUUUUGGACAAUGGGGGAAACCCUGAUCCAGCCAUCCCGCGUGUAUGAGAAGGCCUUCGGGGUGUAAAGUACUUUUGGCAGAGAAGCGAUAGCUGCAGAAUAAGCACCGGCUAACUACGUGCCAGCCGCCGCGGUAAUUC
rnacentral:rRNA from 1 species